GGCUUACACAUGCAAGUCGAGGGGUAACAUUGUGCUUGCACAGAUGACGACCGGCGCACGGGUGCGUAACGCGUAUAGAACCUACCUUUUACAGGGGAAUAGCCUUUAGAAAUGAAGAUUAAUGCCCCAUGGUAUUGAGACUUGGCAUCAAGACUUAAUUAAAGAUUUAUCGGUAAAAGAUGGCUAUGCGUCCUAUUAGCUAGAUGGUAAGGUAACGGCUUACCAUGGCAACGAUAGGUAGGGGUCCUGAGAGGGAGAUCCCCCACACUGGUACUGAGACACGGACCAGACUCCUACGGGAGGCAGCAGUGAGGAAUAUUGGGCAAUGGAGGCAACUCUGACCCAGCCAUGCCGCGUGCAGGAAGACGGCCCUAUGGGUUGUAAACUGCUUUUAUACAGGAAGAAACACUGGUAUGUAUACCAGCUUGACGGUACUGUAAGAAUAAGGACCGGCUAACUCCGUGCCAGCAGCCGCGGUAAUACGGAGGGUCCGAGCGUUAUCCGGAAUCAUUGGGUUUAAAGGGUCCGCAGGCGGUCAAUUAAGUCAGAGGUGAAAUCCCAUAGCUUAACUAUGGAACUGCCUUUGAUACUGGUUGACUUGAGUCAUAUGGAAGUAGAUAGAAUGUGUAGUGUAGCGGUGAAAUGCAUAGAUAUUACACAGAAUACCGAUUGCGAAGGCAGUCUACUACGUAUGUACUGACGCUGAGGGACGAAAGCGUGGGGAGCGAACAGGAUUAGAUACCCUGGUAGUCCACGCCGUAAACGAUGGAUACUAGUUGUUUGGCAUUAGCUAAGUGACUAAGCGAAAGUGAUAAGUAUCCCACCUGGGGAGUACGGUCGCAAGACUGAAACUCAAAGGAAUUGACGGGGGCCCGCACAAGCGGUGGAGCAUGUGGUUUA
rnacentral:rRNA from 1 species